ACCGUACUCCUACGGGAGGCAGCAGUGGGGAAUACUGCACAAUGGGCGCAAGCCUGAUGCAGCGACGCCGCGUGCGGGAUGACGGCCUUCGGGUUGUAAACCGCUUUCAGCAGGGGAGAAGCGCAAGUGACGGUACCUGCAGAAGAAGCGCCGGCUAACUACGUGCCAGCAGCCGCGGUAAUACGUAGGGCGCAAGCGUUGUCCGGAAUUAUUGGGCGUAAAGAGCUCGUAGGCGGUCUGUCGCGUCUGCUGUGAAAUCCUCAGGCUCAACCUGGGGCUUGCAGUGGGUACGGGCAGACUAGAGUGCGGUAGGGGUGACUGGAAUUCCUGGUGUAGCGGUGGAAUGCGCAGAUAUCAGGAGGAACACCUAUGGCGAAGGCAGGUCACUGGGCCGCAACUGACGCUGAGGAGCGAAAGCAUGGGGAGCGAACAGGAUUAGAAACCCCGGUAGUCCUUGAC
rnacentral:rRNA from 1 species